rnacentral:rRNA from 1 species
AGCGAACGCUGGCGGCAGGCUUAACACAUGCAAGUCGAGCGGGCAUCCUUGUGGUGUCAGCGGCAGACGGGUGAGUAACGCGUGGGAACGUGCCCUUCGGUUCGGAAUAACUCAGGGAAACUUGAGCUAAUACCGGAUACGUGCGAGAGCAGAAAGGUUUAUCUGCCGAAGGAUCGGCCCGCGUCUGAUUAGCUAGUUGGUGAGGUUACGGCUCACCAAGGCGACGAUCAGUAGCUGGUCUGAGAGGAUGACCAGCCACACUGGGACUGAGACACGGCCCAGACUCCUACGGGAGGCAGCAGUGGGGAAUAUUGGACAAUGGGGGCAACCCUGAUCCAGCCAUGCCGCGUGAGUGAUGACGGCCUUAGGGUUGUAAAGCUCUUUUCUCCGGGACGAUAAUGACGGUACCGGAGGAAUAAGCCCCGGCUAACUUCGUG